rnacentral:rRNA from 1 species
UACGAAGGGGGCUAGCGUUGCUCGGAAUUACUGGGCGUAAAGCGCACGUAGGCGGCUCUUUAAGUCGGGGGUGAAAUCCUGGAGCUCAACUUCAGAACUGCCUUCGAUACUGGAGAGCUCGAGUCCGGGAGAGGUGAGUGGAACUGCGAGUGUAGAGGUGAAAUUCGUAGAAUAUUCGCAAGAACACCAGUGGCGAAGGCGGCUCACUGGCCCGAUACUGACGCUGAGGCACGAAAGCGUGGGGAGCAAA